rnacentral:misc_RNA from 1 species
AUUAGACUUAUUAGUAUUGAAGUAAUUACAUUAUCAAUAUCAUUAUUAUUCUUUUACCUUUCUUUUUUCUUUUCAAUUGGAUAACAAGCACUAACACCAUUGCUGUGGUUUGAGCCUUAGACACCUCCAAGAUGCAGUGGGUAUCUACCCCUUAUUAUUAUGGUUAUCAUUAUUGCUCUAAUCAUUACUUCGCUCCCUACAUCUCUUAUGCAUGUAAAUGUCUUCAUGUCAUGCUCAAACUCUCGUUCUCCAACACAAUCCCCAUCUACAAGCAUGAAUGCAUAUAUUGUGCCCCCAUAUUUGAAGUGGAGACAUCCAAGUCCAACAGCCCACAUCCAUGCAUCAAUAUUCACUAAUGUCCCCCAUACAAUAGUCAAUAGCUAUAACAGAACAAAUAAGAACAUGGCACAGUAAAAUCCAUGAAGGUAAACAUGUGAUAGACAACAGAUGACAAAAGGUAAAUGACUGCAAAGUGCAAACACAAAACCAAGAUUUUAUAAAAGUAAUCAAGAACAAACCCACAGCAAAAUAAAAGCAUACCUUUUGAGCAUGAAUCUCUGG